UGCGUAGGCGGCUCCGUAUGUCAGAUGUGAAAUCUCACCGUUCAUCGGUGAACGUGCAUUUGAAACUGCGGGGCUAGAGUACGGGAGAGGAGAGCGGAAUUCUCGGUGUAGCGGUGAAAUGCGUAGAUAUCGAGAAGAACGCCGGAGGCGAAGGCGGCUCUCUGGAACGUAACUGACGCUGAGGCACGAAAGCGUGGGGAGCAAACAGGAUUAGAUACCCUGGUAGUCC
rnacentral:rRNA from 1 species